rnacentral:rRNA from 1 species
GAUGAACGCUGGCGGCGUGCCUAAUACAUGCAAGUCGAGCGAACAGACGAGGAGCUUGCUCCUCUGACGUUAGCGGCGGACGGGUGAGUAACACGAGGAUAACCUACCUAUAAGACUGGGAUAACUUCGGGAAACCGGAUCUAAUACCGGAUAAUAUAUUGAACCGCAUGGUUCAAUAGUGAAAGACGGUUUUGCUGUCACUAAUAGAUGGAUCCGCGCCGCAUUAGCUAGUUGGUAAGGUAACGGCUUACCAAGGCAACGAUGCGUAGCCGACCUGAGAGGGUGAUCGGCCACACUGGAACUGAGACACGGUCCAGACUCCUACGGGAGGCAGCAGUAGGGAAUCUUCCGCAAUGGGCGAAAGCCUGACGGAGCCACGCCGCGUGAGUGAUGAAGGUCUUCGGAUCGUAAAACUCUGUUAUUAGGGAAGAACAAAUGUGUAAGUAACUCUGCACGUCUUGACGGUACCUACUCAGAAAGCCACGGCUAACUACGUG